AAAGGGGGGUGUGAGGCUUCUCCCGUUUUUGUCUUUUGGUCUGAUAAACCCUACUUUUCCUGGGGUUCUGAUAAACCCUAUUAAUUUUCUUUGGGUUUUUGUUUUAUCUCCUUUUCCUUAAGCAGGAAUUUUUAUCCAAAUUGAAAUCACUCAGUCUUUUGCAUUCCUUUGGCUGCAUGCCUGGUUUCCCACCAAAGACAAUAUGGAUGUUGUUUAGAAACUGAAACGCUGUGAUGCAACUAGUCGGAGAAACUACAGCAACCAAUUCUAUUCAGUACUGGAUCCUAGUAUGCUUGUUAACCACAGAGAAGUUCUCAACCAUUCUCGUUGCUCUAUGAGAUUUGCUUCAUCUGGAGGUUAUUCUGUUCUUCACUCAAGUGGUCUUCAGCACUGGUUCAAAAAUUGGCAAGGACUUAGAAAACAUAAACUGACAGCUAGCACUUUUGCUGCGGCCAUUGGUUUUUUUCAUCGCCGAAGACUCCAGCUUUGGUUAGAGAAGAUUGGAGCAAUUGAGCCAUUUUCGGGUAACCUGGCUACGUGUUGGAGCAAUAUCAAAGAAGAGGAAGCACUUGAAAGAUACAAACUAAUAACAGGAAAUUCUGUCUUGUUUCCUGAAUUUCAAGUCUAUGGUAAUAGAAAUGCUGGAGAUGAUUGGCUAGGAGCUUCACCAGAUGGGGUGGUUGAUAGACUGGUAUACGGAUUGCCUUCACGAGGAGUGCUGGAGAUUAAGUGCCCAUUUUUCGAUGGAAAUAUGAAAAAGGCUACCCCUUGGUCACGAAUUCCUCUAUAUUGUGUUCCACAGGCUCAGGGUUUAAUGGAAAUACUCGACAGGGAUUGGAUGGAUUUCUAUGUUUGGACUCCUAAAGGGAGCAGCCUCUUCAGGGUAUACCGAGAUGCAGAAUACUGGGAUGUUUUGAAAAUGGUUCUCUCAGAUUUUUGGUGGAACCAUGUCCAGCCAGCAAGGGAGAUCUGCAGUAAGUCUCAGAUUACAGAUCCCCUCGUUGAAUUAAGAUCGCUCAAACCAGCACCCAGGCAUGAAAUGUGUAGUUAUAUAGUUUAUGAAAGCAAACGUGUUGUUGACAGCUCCAAGUUAUUGAUGCGUGAAAUCAAUGGCAAACUGAUAAACUGAUGCAUCUUUAACCACAAUUUAGGCCUUUCAAAUUAAUUGGUUCUGAGGAUAUGGGAUUAACCACGUCAAGUUGCUGGAAUAUGGCUUUCAUGUGUUUAGUAAUUGAUGUAAAUUCCUACCGCCAGUAUCAUCAUAACUUUUGCCUAAUUAGUGUAAGAGGAAUGUACGUUGCUACAUGAGGUAGAUUUUGAUAGGAUGAAUAUCCCGGCUAUAGUCAUUGUAUGAUAACAGAAAAGAAAGUAAAAAGUUUGAUUUCUGCAGGAUUGAAGAAGUAUAGACCGAAGAUUGUUAGUUGAGGCGCUGAUCAUGCUGUGGAGAAACUCAAACAGGAACAGCUUGCAUUUGCCUUUCAAACUAUCAAAUUACUGCUGGAAAAUGAAAAGCAAGUUAAAGUUGUUUAUGAUUUAACUUACCCAGAAGUUUUGCUCUUGAAUGAGCAGGGGCAGUUCUUUUGGGCUCUGGAAUAAUUAUUCUGACUCCAGCCCAUUCUGAUAGUACAUGAUGAAGGGGUACUGAGCUCAUUUGCACUAUCAAGUUGGAGCCAACUAGUUUCACUUUUCAUCGAUAAACUUUGAAGGCAUUUGUUAGAAAGCAACUAGAUGAAAACGAUACUAGGUUCGUAUUUACAUGCUUUAACAUAUAUAUAUUAUCUUGUAUUGAAUUCUUGACCAGAGUUGAACGGUGCGGCGUAACGGCAUUUGUUGUGUUAUAUAUUUUCUACUUAUGUAAAGAGGGGGGUAUUUCAGUUUUGCCUGGUUAGAUGUUUUAGUGAUGUAUUGAACAAAAUAUUUGUGAUUUGUGACAUGGUGGAUGAAGUUUCACCAUUAUUAUUCGAGGCCAUACUUUUACUAGGUCGCUGAGGAAAUAGGAUUUUAUAGGAAAAUUUGGAAAGCAAAAAGUUGCAAGAAAUUGAGUAUAUUUUGGCAGAAUUUCAAGACA